AUCGAACGAGGGAGGAAGGAGGAACACAUGCAAGUCGAACGAACUCUUCGGAGUUGGUGGCGGACGGGUGAGUAACACGUGGGAACGUGCCUGUUGGUUCGGAAUGACUCAGGGAAACUUGUGCUAAUACCGACUGUGCCCUUCGGGGGAAAGAUUUAGCGCGAUUAGAGCGGCCCGCGUCUGAUUGGCUUGUUGGUGAGGUAACGGCGCAUCACGGCUACGAUCAGUAGCUGGUCUGAGAGGAUGAGCAGCCACUCUGGGAGUGAGACGCGGUCCAGACUCCUGCGGGAUGCAGGAGUGCGGGAUCUUGCGAAACGGGCGGAAGGAUGACGCCGCCAUGCCGGGAGAAUGCUGAAGGUCGUAGGAUAGUAAAAUUCUUUAACCGCGGACGAUAAUGACGGUACCCGGAGAAGAAGCCCCGGCUAACUUCGUG
rnacentral:rRNA from 1 species